rnacentral:rRNA from 1 species
UGAAACCAGGAUUAGAUACCCUACUAUUAAAAGCCUUAUUAUAAAUUCUAAAUAGUAAUACAAUUAAAAAUGUAUAAACUUAAAUAACAUGGCGGUAAUUAUAAACUUUAGGGGAACUUACUUAUUAAUGGAUAACCACCCAGAAAUCUAUCCAUUUAUUUAAAGCUUGUAUGCCGUCGUCAUCAGAAACUUUUUAAAAUAGUUUCAUUAUUUAAAUAUUUUAUAUUAUGACAGAUCAAGGUGCAGCCGAUAAAAUGGUUUUAGCGAGUUACAAUUAUAACUUUUAUCAGAAGUUUAUUAUUGAAAUAAUAACGGAAGCUGGACUUAAAAGUAAAAAACAUUAAAAAUAAUUUUAUUGAAUCUUUUAUAAUUGUGUACAUAUCGCCCGUCGCUA